rnacentral:rRNA from 1 species
UACGUAGGAGGCAAGCGUUGUCCGGAAUUACUGGGCGUAAAGCGCGUGUAGGCGGUCUGAAUAGUCUGCUGUGAAAGCGCCUGGCUUAACCGGGCGAGGUCGGCGGAAACUCUCAGACUGGAGGCCGGUAGAGGGGGGUGGAAUUCCCGGUGUAGUGGUGAAAUGCGCAGAUAUCGGGAAGAACACCCGUGGCGAAGGCGGGUCUCUGGGCAGUAACUGACGCUGAGGAGCGAAAGCGUGGGGAGCGAACAGG